rnacentral:rRNA from 1 species
GCGGAGGAAAAGAAACCAACAGGGAUUACCUCAGUAACGGCGAGUGAAGCGGUAAAAGCUCAAAUUUGAAACCCUCGGGAUUGUAAUUUGAAGAUUUGGCAUUGGGAAAAGCUAACCCAAGUUGCUUGGAAUAGUACGUCGUAGAGGGUGAGAACCCCGUGUGGCUAACCGUUUCCCAUGUAUUGCCUUAUCAAAGAGUCGAGUUGUUUGGGAAUGCAGCUCUAAGUGGGUGGUAAACUCCAUCUAAAGCUAAAUAUUGGCGAGAGACCGAUAGCGAACAAGUACUGUGAAGGAAAGAUGAAAAGAACUUUGAAAAGAGAGUGAAAUAGUAUGUGAAAUUGUUGAUAGGGAAGGGAAUGAGUGUAGCGUGGGUGAGGUUUCAAUUAUCUCUCGAGGUGAUGUACUGCCAAACCCGAGUCAAGGAGUGGGAAAAAGGGGUUAUAAAUGCAAACUCUCGAGUCUGCACCUAACCCCCGCCCUCCACUCCUCGACAUAAUACACCCAUUCCACCCGUCUUGAACCACGGA